UGGAGGAUGAGAUCGAACACUUUAGCCAUAAGCAUCAUUUACGACUAAAGAAUAAGAAAGUCCUAUGGAUUUAAUGCACAUUGCGCUGCAUGUUCGGGUUAUCUCUCUGGCGUCUUCUAUUCUUGCAACGAUUGUCGGUAUUAUCUUCAUACAGAAUGUGCCAAGUUGGAGGGUGAGAUCGAACACUCGCACCAUCCAUUUCAAUCUCUAAAGCUGCAGGCUAUUGUAGAUGAUGGGGAUUUCUAUUGCAAUGUGUGUCAUAAGUUGUAGCAUUCCGUGAGUUUAAAAAAAAAAAAAAAAAAAAAGUCAGAAUUUUGUGGACCACAAAUGCCCCCACCUAACCCCACUACCCAUCAUUCUCAUCCACUCAAUUUCACCCACAUCUCCUCUCUCUUUUGGCUGGCUCUCUCCUUUCUUUCUUUCUUUCUUUCAUUUUCUCUCUUUUCUUUUCAUUUUGCUGAAACACAUACACACUCACCCGCCAACCUCUACUCCAAAAUAUACUAUCUCACCAUCAUUUUUCCAGCAAGAUCACUGGAAAAAUACUUAGGAACUCCAAAGCAUCUUCAUUAUUUUAUUUGAGGUUCUAGCUAAUCUCCUCUUGGAGCUUGGAGAAUUAGGAUUUUGCGGUUACGAGAGUAGGCAACAAUCUUUUGAGACAGCUUUUUUUAGUGGCUAAUAGUAGUUAGACUAACUACUGAUGGAGGCUGAAUUUUUGUAAUGGAUAUAUUAGAUGUUGUACAUCUUAGACUAGGUUUGACUCAUUCUUUUGUAUAUUAUAGUGGUUAUGACUGUAUUUCCACUGAUGGGACAAGCUGUUGUUAUGUAAUAGUUUUAUUCAAACCUCUAUUCUUUUGUGGCCUAUGGUCCUUGUAAUUAAUGCUUAGAGCUCUGACUUACUUUGAAAGUAUAUUCUAUGGGAUUAUUAUGAUAA